CAUCCCUUCAGAGAUGGUUAUCCAGUGUG
rnacentral:piRNA from 1 species